rnacentral:rRNA from 1 species
GUGAGUAGUUCAGAGUUUGAUCCUGGCUCAGGACGAACGCUGGCGGCGUGCCUAACACAUGCAAGUCGAACGGGGUUGUUCCUUCGGGGACAACUUAGUGGCGAACGGGUGAGUAACGCGUGAGGAACCUGCCUUUCAGUGGGGGACAACAGUUGGAAACGACUGCUAAUACCGCAUAAUGUUGUCGGAUGGCAUCAUCUGGCAACCAAAGCUUUAUGUGCUGAAAGAUGGCCUCGCGUCUGAUUAGAUAGUUGGUGAGGUAACGGCUCACCAAGUCGACGAUCAGUAGCCGGACUGAGAGGUUGAACGGCCACAUUGGGACUGAGAUACGGCCCAG